AUUGAACGCUGGCGGCAGGCUUAACACAUGCAAGUCGAGCGAGCGGCGGACGGGUGAGUAAUGUCUGGGAAACUGCCUGAUGGAGGGGGAUAACUACUGGAAACGGUAGCUAAUACCGCAUACCAUCAGAUGUGCCCAGAUGGGAUUAGCUAGUAGGUGGGGUAAUGGCUCCCCUAGGCGACGAUCCCUAGCUGGUCUGAGAGGAUGACCAGCCACACUGGAACUGAGACACGGGCCAGACGACUACGGGGGGCAGCAGUGGGGAAUAUUGCACGAUGGGCGCAAGCCGGAUGCAGCCAUGCCGCAUGUGUGAAGAAGGCCUUCGGGUUGUAAAGCACUUUCAGCGAGGAGGCGUUACUCGCAGAAGAAGCACCGGCGAACUCCGUGCCAGCAGCCGCGGUAAUAC
rnacentral:rRNA from 1 species